CCAUUUUAUUCACAGAAUCAUGUUCAUGUAAAUUAAUAUUUUAUUCAAAUUCAAAGUCAUCCACAAUGUCUGAAAUUCUGCAAAUACUAAGCUUCCAAUUCGCCAAAAAUUGUUGGCAGCCACUGAGAAUCUUCAACCAAUAUCCAGAAGUCAAGUAGUCGACUGUCCAUCAAAUUCUCUUACCUAGGCAGUGUUCGCUCUAAUAUCCCCUAUAUGCAUGUGAAGCAACGCGAUCAGUUGGAGAAUAUACGCAAGAAAAUUAUAGAAGAACGGAAAUUAAUUAAAAAUAAAAUUGAACAAAUUGAAAAGCAUAUUAAGAACUUGGAGAACUCCAGCGCCAAACCUGAAAAGAAGCCAUAGAGAGAGAGACAGAUAGUAAAAAUCAAUCCAGUCAUCCUUGAAAAACGGCUCUGCUGUUCAAAUACUUUCGUUUCAAAUUCUAAAUUUUAAAGAUUUUGUUUCAAUUAUGUUUGGAACAGUCUUCAGAGCCAUAAGUCUGCUGAAAGCCAGAGAUGUACUGGCCACAAGCACACUCAGACGAUCCCUCCGGGACAAAGGCAUGGGAGAGGAGAAAAAUCAUUUUAAGAAAAUUGAAAUGGAACAACUAAAGAAAAUUAGGCAGAAUAAGAUUAAGCAAAUGAUGGAAGAGAUCGAGGCCCUGAAGAACGAGAUCAAAGCCGUUGAGCGGGGAUUCUCCGAAAAUGCAAAGUCCUUGAAAGAAUCGCUGUUGAAACAAAUCGAGCAGCUGGAAAAUUCCAUCGAGAGAGUUAAAAAGUCGAUGGGCGGAGACAAUUGAAUCAGCAGCUCACGUAGAGUAGGCGAGAAUCUUUUCAAAAAACAUUCCAGUUUCAGUCAGCCCUUAGAAUGCCUUCACUUAAUACUACAUUUCCAUUCAAUUCCAAAUUUUAAUAAAUAAAUUUUAGUUUCGCAUAUUUUUUCUUACAUUUUACCGAAAAUUAUCAGCCAUGCUAAAAAUUCUUUGCAACACGCUUCGACUUGUAGCUGCCCCCAAAUGCUGCUUCACGCAGAGCUUCAAGAAUGCCAGCAAUUUCUUGUACGAAAGAGCCAGAGCCGGAGAGAAUAUCCACUUCCUAAAAAUACAAAGAGAACAACUGAUGCAACUGCGUUCCAAACUUAAAAAGCAACAGAAGGAGGUCAUGUCAGAGAUUGGCAAAGUGGAUGAGCAGAUGGUAACAAUCGCUGAAAGAUCUAGUCAAACCCGAAAACAAUAACAGGGGCAAAGCAGGAAAGCAGGGAAAUAGUAUGACGCAAUUAAUUAUAUUAACAUUUAAUCUAAAAUAAAUUAAAAUCG